GAGGCCCACUACGACACGGAUUACACCCAGUCGACGGGCCUGGUGUUCCCACGUGUCUGCAAGAGACGCAAAUUGAUGAAAUACGCCUGGAAAUGCGAUCUAACGGUCACCAGGAGAGGGUUAUGGUACAUCGUCAGGGACCGCGACACUGGUAAGCGAAUCACGGUCAUCCCGCGCAACGUCAGAAAAAAUCGUCGGUGCCGGAAAAUCAUCAAACGUCUGAUCGCUCGCUAUUAAGGUAUAACGACCACUGAACCUUCUAUUACCCAGCCAUCUGCAUACUACGGCGAAUCAGAAUACUACAAACAGAACGAAACACCUGAAAACGAUGCGAUGGCACAAUUGUACGAGACCUACGAAUACAAAGAUUACUAAGAUGCACUUGGCAAAUACAUGUGACGAGGUGCGUGGGAAAAAGUAGUCCCGGUUCGGCAGUUGAUGACGUCAUUUCGUGCCAUGGAUUAUAGCCUUGCCGUUGAUUAUAGAUGAAAUUUAAUAAACGGGGCUUUAAUCAACCGAUUUCGCUGUAAAAGUGGGAUCAAAUAAUAUACCGCUACAAGAAAACAUUACUUUUUAGGUUUGAUAUGAAUGUUGAGUCUCACCCCCGUGGACACUUGGUUUCAUGAAUGUGCGUAAAGUGUCCCAGUUCGCACAGGGUAAUGCAGGACAACACUUUUAGGCUAUCGUUUAAAGGAAGUCUCUUCUUACCGAACAUACAGUUAAGACUGAAAGUAUCGUCCCUAUUUAGCCUGUGCUAACUGCACACGCUAAUGUGGAACGAAACUUUACGAACGGUUACGUUAUUUAACGAACGGUCAAGAUACUUUACGAACGUUCACGAUACUUUACGAACGUUCACGAUACUUUACAAACGUUCACGAUACUUUACGAACGUUCAUUAUACCUCAUUUCCAAGAGCGAGGCUUAAAUACUUAAACGUUCCACAGAUGUAGAAAUGUUAUUUUUGUCCAAUUCGUUACAUAAUAUACAUCCUGGCAUUGUAUUCUUUUAAUCAUAUUAAAGAUUAACUGUUGUUUUAAUCCUUAAAAACGAAAUGGAUUUUUUAGUAUUAGUUGAAUAAUUAAACUUGUU